rnacentral:tRNA from 1 species
UCCCUAGUAGCUCAGAGGGUAAAGCAUCUGCCUACAAUGCAGGAGACGUGGGUUCAAUCCCCGAGUCAGGAA